rnacentral:rRNA from 2 species
UGAGGGGGGCUGCUCCUAGUACGAGAGGACCGGAGUGGACGCAUCACUGGUGUUCGGGUUGUCAUGCCAAUGGCACUGCCCGGUAGCUAAAUGCGGAAGAGAUAAGUGCUGAAAGCAUCUAAGCACGAAACUUGCCCCGAGAUGAGUUCUCCCUGACUCCUUGAGAGUCCUGAAGGAACGUUGAAGACGACGACGUUGAUAGGCCGGGUGUGUAAGCGCAGCGAUGCGUUGAGCUAACCGGUACUAAUGAGCCGUGAGGCUUAACCUU